CAGUCGCCGCGGGAAUACGUAGGGUGCAAGCGUUAAUCGGAAUUACUGGGCGUAAAGCGUGCGCAGGCGGUUAUAUAAGACAGAUGUGAAAUCCCCGGGCUCAACCUGGGAACUGCAUUUGUGACUGUAUAGCUAGAGUACGGCAGAGGGGGAUGGAAUUCCGCGUGUAGCAGUGAAAUGCGUAGAUAUGCGGAGGAACACCGAUGGCGAAGGCAAUCCCCUGGGCCUGUACUGACGCUCAUGCACGAAAGCGUGGGGAGCAAACAGGAUUAGAGACCCGCGUAGUCCCUGUCUCUUAUAC
rnacentral:rRNA from 1 species